rnacentral:rRNA from 1 species
UACGUAGGGUGCGAGCGUUAAUCGGAAUUACUGGGCGUAAAGUGUGCGCAGGCGGCCGCGCAAGUCGAGUGUGAAAGCCCCGGGCUUAACUUGGGAAUUGCGCUCGAAACUACGAUGCUGGAGUGUGGCAGAGGGAGGUGGAAUUUCACGUGUAGCGGUGAAAUGCGUAGAGAUGUGGAGGAACACCGAUGGCGAAGGCAGCCUCCUGGGCCAACACUGACGCUCAUGCACGAAAGCGUGGGGAGCAAACAGG